rnacentral:lncRNA from 1 species
AUUUGGUCUAGGAUUCUAUUAAGAUUAGGAUUUUUUCGAGAUUUGGUUAAAAUUUUGACUAGAUAUUGAUUAAGAUUUGUCUAAGAUUUGAUUAGGAUUAAGAUUUAUUUGAAAUUUGGUUUAGAAUUUGACUAGAGAUUGAUUAGGAUUUAUUUAGGAUUUAUCUAAGAUUUAGGAUUUUAUUAUGGUUUUAUUAGGGUUUGACCUAGAAUUUGAUUAAGA